UGUCGUUUUUGCCUCCAGUGAUGUUUCAGGCUUAGUUUGCUCUGGAAUCCACUUGUCUGUCUCUCUGGCAGUCCGGGGUAUCUGUCGAGAGCUCUCCUCCAGCACCGUAUUUCAGAUGAAAUCCAUUUUGUCCCUAUUGACCUUCUUUACUGGCCAACUUGCACAUCACAGAUAGUGACGGGGAAUACGAGGGUGUGGAUGAUCUUAGCGUUGGUCUCUAAUAACACAUCUUUGCUUCUGCUGAGCGUUCCUGGUAUUUCCACUGCUGCCCGACCGAGUCUCAGCCUUCUCUUGAUUUCUUGGCGACUCUCUCCUUUUGAAUCGGUGACGGAACCGAGUCUCAUUCUUUAGACCCAAGACCUGGGAAACCAAACAGACCUUAGGCAAACCGAGACAGGCAGGCUGACCCGAAGCCCAGACGUGUCACCAGCCAUCUCAUCCUUUGACGGGGAGCCAGCCAACCACCAACAGGCUUCAGUGCCUUUAGCUGCGGGGAGCAACGGAUGAAUCGCACAGGAUUCCCCCUCAUGGAGCUGUUUCCAGGGAGAGAUUUUUGGGAUUGUACAGCCUCUGUUGAUUUGGCUUUUAGACUCUUCAAAAACAGAAGAAAGAAUUAAAAAGGAGAAGAUGAUGCUGUUGUUACUGAAGAGCCUUUUCAGAAACCAACAGUGACACACAUGUGCAAGAUCACGUUUCAGUUAAGUUCACUUGUGAAAGGGCCUGGGUCAAAGUCAAGCUGGGAAGAGCCUUGGGGCAUAGGGUUGGCAGUGGGAAUGGAGAGGAGACCAUUUAGAGGUGUGUGUGUGUGGGGGGGGGGCUUAAUGAGGUGAUAAUGAGCCAAGGUGGUCCAAAGCUCCUUAGGCCCUUAGUUAUAUCAAGUGUCUCUGGAUAAUUAUCAGUUUCAGGGGUUUCUGUAGCAUUAGUGCAGCACCAGCCCAGGCAGG